rnacentral:rRNA from 1 species
CCUACGGGCGGCAGCAGUGAGGAAUAUUGGUCAAUGGGCGAGAGCCUGAACCAGCCAAGUCGCGUGAAGGAUGACGGCCCUACGGGUUGUAAACUUCUUUUGUCAGGGAGCAAUUGGGUCCACGCGUGGGCUUAGCGAGAGUACCUGAAGAAAAAGCAUCGGCUAACUCCGUGCCAGCAGCUGCGGUAAUACGGAGGAUGCGAGGGUUACCCGGAUUUAUGGGGUUAAAGGGGUGCGUAGGCGGAAUAUCAAGUCAGCGGUAAAAAUUCGGGGCUAAAUCCCGUCGUGCCGUUGAAACUGAUGUUCUUGAGUAGACGAGAAGUAUGCGGAAUGCGUGGUGUAGCGGUGAAAUGCAUAGAUAUCACGCAGAACUCCGAUUGCGAAGGCAGCAUACCGGCGCCCAACUGACGCUGAAGCACGAAAGCGUGGGUAUCGAACAGGAUUAGAUACCCCAGUAGUC